UUCUGCCGACAUCAAUAAAUUCCAGACCGAUUCAUUUUCAAGAAGGUGGAGUAAGUUGAGUGAAGGCCGGGAAGAGGGGGGUGAGCACACACAGUGUGUGUUGUAUGUGCUGCUGCCGCCCGUCAUCAUCGUCCGUAUGCCACUUUUUUGUCCGCCCACCAUAGAGAGCUUGGCUGGACGCCUCGGGCUCGACGUUCUUUUCACCCUGUCGGGCACGCACCGUGCUGGCGCACGCGUGUGUGUCUCCCCGCGGGGAGAACGUCUCGGAGGCGCCGAGCGGCUUUGACCGUGUGCUCGUGUGGUUCGCGCAGGACCAGCUCAGUACCACGCAUAUCGGUAACUCCGCGUUGGUGUAGCGCCGAUGCCUCUUGAACUUCGUACCCACUUGUUUGUGCGCGAAAAUGUAGCUUUUUGUUACCGAACGAAGGAUCGUAAAUGCAACACCCGAGGUGCUCCGGCCAGCGCCCGAAGCAACCGUGCAUCACUUGGAGCUAAAAGGCCACACACACCGCAGAGUCCGCACUGCGUCCUGCCACCUGCCAACGUGCCUAACUGUGCGUCAGUGCAACCCCUAUAUAUUCAGAAAGUGCGAUGCCGCUGUAAAAUGCGUGCGUGCUCUCCGAUACUCCGUCGUCUGCAACGCAUGCUCGGAUAACGACUCACGCGCGACCUUCCAAACAGAAAGGAAACCCUGCGUGAUCUGCACCAAGAAUUCUCCCCUCAAUUAGCAGCGGACGACGACUGCCUACACGCCAGCAUGUGCCACGGGCUUCAAGCACAAGAAAGGGGCGCCGGAACCGUAGAACCACCAGUCUCGGUACUCCUGCACAUUGGCAGCUUUCUAGUCAAAGGAAGGUGGAAAAGAAGAGGAGGAAAAGACACAGAAGCUUUGCUCAGAUCUCGAAUAAAACCUGCUUCUUUGCACCGCGGGGAAGACGUGCCCACGUCCAAAA